CCUACGGGAGGCAGCAGUGGGGAAUAUUGGACAAUGGGCGCAAGCCUGAUCCAGCAAUGCCGCGUGAGUGAUGAAGGCCUUAGGGUCGUAAAGCUCUUUUACCAGGGAUGAUAAUGACAGUACCUGGAGAAUAAGCUCCGGCUAACUCCGUGCCAGCAGCCGCGGUAAUACGGAGGGAGCUAGCGUUGUUCGGAAUUACUGGGCGUAAAGCGUACGUAGGCGGUUAUUCAAGUCAGAGGUGAAAGCCCGGGGCGUCAACCCCGGAACGGCCUUUGAAACUAGGUAGCUAGAAUCUUGGAGAGGUCAGUGGAAUUCCGAGUGUAGAGGUGAAAUUCGUAGAUAUUCGGAAGAACACCAGUGGCGAAGGCGACUGACUGGACAAGUAUUGACGCUGAGGUACGAAAGCGUGGGGAGCAAACAGGAUUAGAUACCCUGGUAGUCCACGCCGUAAACGAUGAUAACUAGCUGUCCGGGCACUUGGUGCCUGGGUGGCGCAGCUAACGCAUUAAGUUAUCCGCCUGGGGAGUACGGUCGCAAGAUUAAAACUUAAAUGAAUUGACGG
rnacentral:rRNA from 1 species